GACGAACGCUGGCGGCGUGCUUGACACAUGCAAGUCGAACGGAAAGGCCUGCUUUCCCUUGUGGAUUGCGGGUACUCGAGUGGCGAACGGGUGAGUAACACGUGAGUGAUCUGCCCCCAACUUGGGUAUAAGCCUGGGAAACUGGGUCUAAUUCCCGAUAGGACUGCAGGGUGGUGCCUGUGGUGGAAAACGAUUUUCUAGUGGUUGGGGAUGAGCUCGCGGCCUAUCAGCUUGUUGGUGGGGUAAUGGCCUACCAAGGCGGCGACGGGUAGCCGGCCUGAGAGGGUGGACGGCCACAUUGGGACUGAGAUACGGCCCAGACUCCUGCGGGAGGCAGCAGUGGGGAAUAUUGCACAAUGGGCGGAAGCCUGAUGCAGCGACGCCGCGUGGGGGAUGACGGCCUUCGGGUUGUAAACUCCUUUCGACCGCGAGGAAGCCACCUGGUUGGAAGGGUGGUGACGGUAGUGGUAGAAGAAGCACCGGCUAACUACGUG
rnacentral:rRNA from 1 species